rnacentral:rRNA from 1 species
UAGUCCUGGCUCAGAUUGAACGCUGCGGCAGGCCUAACACAUGCAAGUCGAGCGGUAGAGAGAAGCUUGCUUCUCUUGAGAGCGGCGACGGGUGAGUAAUGCCUAGGAAGUCUGCCUGGUAGUGGGGGAUAACGUUCGGAACGGACGCUAAUACCGCAUACGUCCUACGGGAGAAAGCAGGGGACCUUCGGGCCUUGCGCUAUCAGAUGAGCCUAGGUCGGAUUAGCUAGUUGGUGGGGUAAUGGCUCACCAAGGCGACGAUCCGUAACUGGUCUGAGAGGAUGAUCAGUCACACUGGAACUGAGACACGGUCCAGACUCCUACGGGAGGCAGCAUGGGGAAUAUUGGACAAUGGGCGAAAGCCUGAUCCAGCCAUGCCGCGUGUGUGAAGAAGGUCUUCGGAUUGUAAAGCACUUUAAGUUGGGAGGAAGGGCAGUAAAUUAAUACUUUGCUGUUUUGACGUUACCGACAGAAUAAGCACCGGCUAACUCUGUG